UUUUUCUUUUUCUUUUUUUUUUUUUUUUGAGGACAGGGUCUCACUCUGUCACCCAGGUUGAGUGCAGUGGCACAAUUACGACUCGCUGCAACCUUGACACUCCUCCCUGCCACCAGCCUCCCAAGGAGCUGGGACUACUGGUGUGCAUCACCACGCCUGGCUAAUUUUUGACUUUUUUUAAAGAGAUGAGAUCUCUCUCUGUUACCCAGGCUGGUCUCGAACUCCCGGAUGCAAGCGAUCUUCCUGCCUCAGCCUCCCAAAGUCCUGGGAUUACAAGUGUAAGCUACCAUGCCUGGCUUAAACAUUCAUUUAAUAAACAUUUCUUGUUUACUGGCCACUAAUGUUUGCCAAGCACUGUGCUAGAUUCUGGGAGAGAGAGAUGAGUAAUACAUGUUUUCUGCCCUCCAGAAGCCCAAGCUACUUCGGAGAGUUAGAGAUACUUACCUGGGUCUGCCCUUCCUUUUCCCCCUUCCCUUUUUUAAUUCCAAAUAAUCUUCACCUGGGAGGUAUGAGUAACAGUUCUGGACUCUCACCAUUCAAAUCCUGGUUCUACCGUGUCUUGGCUGUGUGACCUUGGGCAAGUUAUCUCACCUCUCUGUGCCUCAGGUUCCCUGUCUGUAAAUUGGAGAUAAUAGUGGUAACAGCAUCCCAGGGUUAUUAUAAUGAUUAAAUAAAUUAAUGCAUGGAAUUCAUGCCUGACAUGGAGUGCUCAGUAAAGGUUAGCUAUUGUGUGACUGUUUCUUUCUUUCUUUUUUUUUUUUUUGAGUGCCUAUUCCAUGCCAGGCCCUGAGUCCUGGGGAUACAGAAUUGUUACCAGAUCAUUUCCUCUCCCUUCAGAGCUCACAGUGCGGAACACACAGAGAAACCCACCAGCACACAUACAGGCUCACACAUGCUCAGGCCGUGCUGAAAGAAAGUGGUGGUGGCAGGGUGUGGUUCUAGAAUGAAUGAGUCUUAGCUCGGAAGUCAGAAGAUUUGGGGUUUUCUUAAGUCCAGGAUAGGGAAAUGGAAUGAUUUCCUGGUAAGGUAACGAUCUCUACAUCACUGGAGUAUGUAAACCAAAGUGUGAAGUUGCCAGAGAGAGCUAUCCUGGUUGUGGGAGAAAAGUAGGUCAAUUCUGGUAUGAUCAUCCCCUCCUGGGACAGUGAGACAAGCUUCCCAGGACCAGCUGGAGAGCCCUAGAGAAGUCUGGCACUGGCAAUGUCCUGAGAGUCCAUUCCUGGAGCCAAGGAACCCGGGCUUCCUACCGUGUAUGUCCAUUUCCUGGGCAAGGCACUGAAUGGCAGGACCAUAGGCAGAGGCAGGAAAGGGCAACUUCCAGCCUCUUCCAGAAGGCCUGACUGGGGGGCAGUAAGUUGGGAUUGCUCAGCCCUGAAGCAGAGACUGAGAACCCCGUCUGCCUGUGUGACCACCAUCCAUGUCCACUCCCUCUCUGAGCUUCAGUUUCUCCACCUGUAGAAUGGGAAGAGAAUGGACCAGAUAGUAUUUUUCUCCCACUCCCAAAUUACAGAGGGUCUUUAUUUUUAUUUUUAUAUUUUUUGACAGGGUCUUGCUGUGUCACCCAGGCUGGAGUGCAGUGAUGUGAUCAUAGCUCACUGCAGCCUUGAGCUCUUGGACUCAGGUGAUCCUCCUGCCUUAGCCUCCCUAAUAACUGGGACUAUAGGCACAGGCCACCAUGCCUGGCUGACUUUUUAUUUUUAUUUUUUUGGUAGUAACAGAGUCUCCCUAUGUUGCGCAGGCUGGUCUCAAACUCCUGGCCUCAAGCGAUCCUCCUGCCUUGGCCUCCCAAAGCAUUGGGAUUACAGGUGUGAGCUGCCAUGUCCAGUCCACAGACAUGUAUUGAGUGCUCACUACAUGCCAAGCACUGGGCUAAGCCUGUUGCAUGUAGCAUCUUGUUUAAAUUUCACAAUAACCCAGCGGGCAGGCAUUUGCCUGCUUUACACAUGAGGAAACCGAGGCCCUCAGCAGUAAAGUAAAUUUUCCAAGUUCACUCAGCAUGGGAAUGAUAGAGCCAGGUUUCUAAUCCAGGUCUAGUUGACAUUGAAACCUGGGAUGCUAGUAACCCUGCCCUGCUGCCUGUUAGUCCUGCCAGGCUCUCUAGGACGGCCCCCACCCUGAGCCACAUCCCCAGGAACACUCUGCCACUCCUUAUCCCCCUCCUGGGCUCAUACCAUGAAAGCCCCAUGCAGAGCCUGCUACUCUAGAGGGAUAUAUAUUAUCUAAAUUUGAUAAGACAACUUAAUUUCACUCCGUGUCUGUUACCGGCGAUAAAACCAGGAGACUUU
ensembl:lncRNA